UUUGCAGGCACAUAUUUUUAUUCGUUAUCUUCAUUUGCAAAUCUGCGGCUCAUAGUUUUCAGAUCGAGAAUGUUGACGGUGGAGAAAAUCGUUCAACUAUACCACUUGAGGAUUAGGUUGGAAUGAUAUCUGCAAAAAAAAGUGAGACUCCAAUAGAAGAUAUGGAGUUGGAGCAGGAUCUUGAGAAGAUACGAGAACCUUUUGGAUUGGAAAGCCCAACAUAAAAUUGCUCUAGGAGUUGUUGAAGGUCUUGCUUAUCUCCAC